GGGGGCUGAGAAAGACGACGAGGUCGGCAUCAGAUCGGCCUCUGAGGGACGUGCCUUUGCCUUAGGAGCCACCCUAAAAUCAGUACAAGCACAGUGCAAAGAGAAAAGGGAGCCCGAGAAAUCAGGAAGCAUAAAGAGCACCAUGAUCCUGAAACUCAAAGACUACCCCUGUGCACAUUUCGGUGUACAUCUCCCCAGACACUCGUACCAGUGUUUCAAGCGCUCUCCCUUGGCUGAGAUCCCCAGCUGGCAGCCUCCUGGGGGACAAGAUGGGAAGAUAGGGGCAGAUGGGCAGAGUGGAGGGAUGCAUGGGACUUGCAUUUUGGACCGAAAUGUCUAUUUGGGGAAAACCUGCCACCAAGCAGACCCCCCUCCACCAAGCAGAUCCAUUUCUCUAUGGACAAUUACUGGCAUGAUGUUAUGAGUACUACUGGCCUUCUCUGCCUACAGACCAUGUACCCAAGAACCUGCAAGGACCCCCUAUGAUGGCAUCAAGUCAUUCCUAAAUCAUCUGUUUUCUAGGACGUUCUACAAAUCACCACCCUACUCCCUGAUAAUUCUCUGCUACUACUUCUGGGUUCUCAUUGCCUAUUUCCAGAGUCAGUUUUGUCACCCGAGCAACCCUCCCUCCACACCUUUGCUCCCACUAUGUCCGCUGCCUGGGGUUCCCUGCCUGCUCCAUCUUUAGUGACUGUUCUUCCUCACCAUUUGGAGGGGGCUGCGAAAAUCAGAACCUUCAUCCUGGACUUGCCAAUAGAUUAAGGAGAUAGCCAUUGCACCCUGUUGUCCACAGAGGCCACAGACCCCAAUCUGCUGUGAUUUAACUAUUCCGCUGGAGGUGAUUUAUUCAGUAAAUAACCAAUUGUGAUUGAAUCUUCCUGGCUUGGUGAGCUCUUUCAUCUAAAGGCAUCUGCAGGUGAGACCCAAAUCAGGCCCAUGGGGCCCAACUUAGCCUUUAGACAAUGUGGCUACACGCAGGAAAGGCCCCCUCUCAGCUCUGUACAGCUCCAGAUAAGGCUCUCGUCUCCUGGGAGGACAGAAGAUGGGGUUUUCUCUGGGAGCUGGGAACACUCACCAAUGUAAUCGUUGGACUUGCCGAUGUCAUAGUCCCAGACUGAGAUGUCCAGGGACUUCUUCGCCAGGUCACUGUGUUUGAUAUCGUAGAAAAACUCCUGGAUGCAGCAGGUGAAGACAUGUGAAUGAGAGGGUGCUCUGGACCCCCAGCAUCGGGGACUGAGACUGAGCCCUAGGGGCUCGCGAGCGGAAGGAUGCAAGAGGGCCUUGCCACUCUGCACCUGGCAACCUCCGUUCGGCAAACACUUUAUUAUAAAGUCCCCCCAGCCUGUCAUUCUCUCUUCAAGGACUCUCUGAUACUGGGGAGGCUGCCAGGGUUUUUCUAAGAGAACUGGUCCUGGUCAAGUUUGCUUGAAGGCAAAUGGCCAUGAACUCGGUCUUUCCAUUCCGGUAGCUUCUGAAGUGGGUCUACCCCUCUCCCCAUCAUUUACAGAUGAAGGGUCAUUGAGGGGACUGAGACUGAUGUGACGGUUAAGUGCUUAUGUUUCCAGACAAUCUGAUUUCUUACAUAACUUUUCUACUUAAUUAUAAAAUUCAUUCAUGCUCAUCAUUAAAACAAAUAAGAAAAAAACCCCAAAACUUGUAAUUUAACUAUAAGAAAACCACUGUCAACCUUCUCCAUGUGCGACCACAUUGAUAUUUUUUAAUUUUAAUAUGAAUAUUAAUUUGAACAUUAUUUGAAAUAUUUGAUUAUGUGAAAUAUAAUAUGAAUAUACCUUU